rnacentral:rRNA from 1 species
AGCGUACACGGUGGAUGCCCUGGCAGUCAGAGGCGAUGAAGGACGUGCUAAUCUGCGAUAAGCGUCGGUAAGGUGAUAUGAACCGUUAUAACCGGCGAUUUCCGAAUGGGGAAACCCAGUGUGUUUCGACACACUAUCAUUAACUGAAUCCAUAGGUUAAUGAGGCGAACCGGGGGAACUGAAACAUCUAAGUACCCCGAGGAAAAGAAAUCAACCGAGAUUCCCCCAGUAGCGGCGAGCGAACGGGGAGCAGCCCAGAGCCUGAAUCAGUGUGUGUGUUAGUGGAAGCGUCUGGAAAGGCGCGCGAUACAGGGUGACAGCCCCGUACACAAAAAUGCACAUGCUGUGAGCUCGAUGAGUAGGGCGGGACACGUGGUAUCCUGUCUGAAUAUGGGGGGACCAUCCUCCAAGGCUAAAUACUCCUGACUGACCGAUAGUGAACCAGUACCGUGAGGGAAAGGCGAAAAGAACCCCGGCGAGGGGAGUGAAAAAGAACCUGAAACCGUGUACGUACAAGCAGUGGGAGCACGCUUAGGCGUGUGACUGCGUACCUUUUGUAUAAUGGGUCAGCGACUUAUAUUCUGUAGCAAGGUUAACCGAAUAGGGGAGCCGAAGGGAAACCGAGUCUUAACUGGGCGUUAAGUUGCAGGGUAUAGACCCGAAACCCGGUGAUCUAGCCAUGGGCAGGUUGAAGGUUGGGUAACACUAACUGGAGGACCGAACCGACUAAUGUUGAAAAAUUAGCGGAUGACUUGUGGCUGGGGGUGAAAGGCCAAUCAAACCGGGAGAUAGCUGGUUCUCCCCGAAAGCUAUUUAGGUAGCGCCUCGUGAACUCAUCUCCGGGGGUAGAGCACUGUUUCGGCAAGGGGGUCAUCCCGACUUACCAACCCGAUGCAAACUGCGAAUACCGGAGAAUGUUAUCACGGGAGACACACGGCGGGUGCUAACGUCCGUCGUGAAGAGGGAAACAACCCAGACCGCCAGCUAAGGUCCCAAAGUCAUGGUUAAGUGGGAAACGAUGUGGGAAGGCCCAGACAGCCAGGAUGUUGGCUUAGAAGCAGCCAUCAUUUAAAGAAAGCGUAAUAGCUCACUGGUCGAGUCGGCCUGCGCGGAAGAUGUAACGGGGCUAAACCAUGCACCGAAGCUGCGGCAGCGACGCUGAUGCGUUGUUGGGUAGGGGAGCGUUCUGUAAGCCUGUGAAGGUGUGCUGUGAGGCAUGCUGGAGGUAUCAGAAGUGCGAAUGCUGACAUAAGUAACGAUAAAGCGGGUGAAAAGCCCGCUCGCCGGAAGACCAAGGGUUCCUGUCCAACGUUAAUCGGGGCAGGGUGAGUCGACCCCUAAGGCGAGGCCGAAAGGCGUAGUCGAUGGGAAACAGGUUAAUAUUCCUGUACUUGGUGUUACUGCGAAGGGGGGACGGAGAAGGCUAUGUUGGCCGGGCGACGGUUGUCCCGGUUUAAGCGUGUAGGCUGGUUUUCCAGGCAAAUCCGGAAAAUCAAGGCUGAGGCGUGAUGACGAGGCACUACGGUGCUGAAGCAACAAAUGCCCUGCUUCCAGGAAAAGCCUCUAAGCAUCAGGUAACAUCAAAUCGUACCCCAAACCGACACAGGUGGUCAGGUAGAGAAUACCAAGGCGCUUGAGAGAACUCGGGUGAAGGAACUAGGCAAAAUGGUGCCGUAACUUCGGGAGAAGGCACGCUGAUAUGUAGGUGAAGUCCCUCGCGGAUGGAGCUGAAAUCAGUCGAAGAUACCAGCUGGCUGCAACUGUUUAUUAAAAACACAGCACUGUGCAAACACGAAAGUGGACGUAUACGGUGUGACGCCUGCCCGGUGCCGGAAGGUUAAUUGAUGGGGUUAGCCGCAAGGCGAAGCUCUUGAUCGAAGCCCCGGUAAACGGCGGCCGUAACUAUAACGGUCCUAAGGUAGCGAAAUUCCUUGUCGGGUAAGUUCCGACCUGCACGAAUGGCGUAAUGAUGGCCAGGCUGUCUCCACCCGAGACUCAGUGAAAUUGAACUCGCUGUGAAGAUGCAGUGUACCCGCGGCAAGACGGAAAGACCCCGUGAACCUUUACUAUAGCUUGACACUGAACAUUGAGCCUUGAUGUGUAGGAUAGGUGGGAGGCUUUGAAGUGUGGACGCCAGUCUGCAUGGAGCCGACCUUGAAAUACCACCCUUUAAUGUUUGAUGUUCUAACGUUGACCCGUAAUCCGGGUUGCGGACAGUGUCUGGUGGGUAGUUUGACUGGGGCGGUCUCCUCCUAAAGAGUAACGGAGGAGCACGAAGGUUGGCUAAUCCUGGUCGGACAUCAGGAGGUUAGUGCAAUGGCAUAAGCCAGCUUGACUGCGAGCGUGACGGCGCGAGCAGGUGCGAAAGCAGGUCAUAGUGAUCCGGUGGUUCUGAAUGGAAGGGCCAUCGCUCAACGGAUAAAAGGUACUCCGGGGAUAACAGGCUGAUACCGCCCAAGAGUUCAUAUCGACGGCGGUGUUUGGCACCUCGAUGUCGGCUCAUCACAUCCUGGGGCUGAAGUAGGUCCCAAGGGUAUGGCUGUUCGCCAUUUAAAGUGGUACGCGAGCUGGGUUUAGAACGUCGUGAGACAGUUCGGUCCCUAUCUGCCGUGGGCGCUGGAGAACUGAGGGGGGCUGCUCCUAGUACGAGAGGACCGGAGUGGACGCAUCACUGGUGUUCGGGUUGUCAUGCCAAUGGCACUGCCCGGUAGCUAAAUGCGGAAGAGAUAAGUGCUGAAAGCAUCUAAGCACGAAACUUGCCCCGAGAUGAGUUCU